rnacentral:lncRNA from 1 species
CGGGGCUCUGUGGAUCGUUUGCACUCUGUAUUUAUCGAGCAUUUAUGUCCGGGGGCGCGGGAGGGAGCAGGUGAAGAUUCAGGUCAGGCUUAACCACAUGCCCCUCCUUAGCCACACUGUGGCUCCACCGGUAACUGGCUGCUCACUGUAUACUUGCAGCCCGCACGACAAAUAACGCUGGGUGAAUAAUGGCAUUAAUACGCGAGUCGCUACGCAAGAAACCUGGAGAACUUUGGGACGUCAGGGCGUGCGGCUGGACCCGGUAGCCCAGACAAGCCAUUCAAACCACUGAAUUCUUCACCUUCUGUUGGCCAACGCAGGCACACGGCUGCGGUGGGCUGCGCGAGGAACCUCAGAGCUCCUAGAAUCUUCGGUUCCCCAGUAAGAGACUGUCUAAACGCGUGAACGCCGGGGGAAGGCACCACAAAAGAGGGCUUAGGCUUGAAAUUGAGUAUAGUUACUUCAAAUUACAAGAAAACACAAACCCUCCACUCAAUUAUGGAUCCAGAUAAGAAGCAGAGGAAGUAAAGUAGAGUCGACGAGAAAGGAGGCAGUUAGAAUAGCAAGACUCUGGAGGGGAAUGUUCCGUAGGAAGCGAACAAAUAUGGCCGAUACAAAAACGUAGCAAACAGUUUAAUAAAUACAAUUCUUAGCAUACUUUCCCUGUUGUGCCCUUGGUGUUAUUCAGAAAAAAGGUGAUCUAUUGUUUUCAAUAUAUAGCCUAGCUCCUCUCCUUGCCUUGGCUUGUAGCCUGGGUACAGGUGAAAAUAUGCCUCCCUCCCGGCCAAAAGAUUGUCCUUCCUGCUCCUGAAAGUCAGUGUUAUUUUUAUAGUGGAAUGCUUAUAGAAUCCCUUUCUUGGCGUUUGUUUCUACUCCACAGUAGAGUAGAGCUCAAGCCUUAGCAGAUAUUUUCAUCAAUAAAUCAGUAUCCUAUAUCGGUGUUAUUAAUACCCUUAAUUUCAAAUUAAUGGAGAUAGGAACUUAGUUGAGGAAAUCCAGCACAACAAGGAGAUUUUUAAAUAUACCUUGGUGGCAAAAUAGAACAAGAGACACACUUUAUCAUUUUUGUCAGAGCCAACCAGCUCCUCGUUUAGCUAAUUAGACAGCAGCCAAUCCUAUACUAAUGGAUUCCUCUUAAUAUAUCCCAUCUCCUCAUUCACUGCCACCGAGAGAACAAUGCUAGAUCUGAAUCUGAGAUCCUGUAGUUUGUCCCCCUACCUUCCUCCCCCUAUCUCCCUUCCCCCAACACUCACAAAACUUCUCAAAUAAAUAAGGAACAACAGGAAGAUGGCUCUUGGAGCCACUCCAUUCAGCUAUUAGCAGCACUAGGAAGGGACUUCCUUUCUCUCUGGCUUGUGACGUCUCAGAGACGGCAGUGCACUUGAGAUCCUUCAGGAUGCUCAGUGAUGAGGCAGAAGGAUGGACACAAAGUGGACCUUUGCCCCCGGACGAUGACUGAGGUGCAGGGAGCGCUUCUUCAGCCUCACCAAGAGUAAACUUUUGUGGCAGUAACACUACAUGAUGAGAAGCGGAUCAAAGAAACUAAAAACGGAGGAUGUGCUUAAAUUAUUUAUGAUGAUGCUGCAGCUGUAUUGAUCAGAGGCAGUUUUCUCUCUUACACUUACCUUCCCUGUACCUACGGAAGCUGCCACCUGCCCCCCCCCACCAGAAAGAAUUAUGCCAUGAUGUGCCAAGUGUGGUGGUGAGGGGUGGGUUACUGGUCAGGACCUUGGUGAAGAGAAGACUGGUCAUUUA